GCGAUAUGUUGUCAAGUUGAGUGC
rnacentral:siRNA from 1 species